GGACAAACAGAUCGCAAAUGCCACAAAGAAGAAGAAAACGAAAGUUUUAAGCGAGGGUACCAGGAGCAGGGGAUAACUCUUUGGUUGUAUAGUUACAGAAUUUGGGUGUAAAAGCACUGUUCUUUUGGGUGUAUUUUUCUGAAUUUUCUUGUGAUUCACAUUUUA